GUCGCUGUUGCUGGAUCCAGCGAU
rnacentral:snRNA from 1 species